GUUAAACUUCACAACAACAAAAUUGCCGGGAAAUCUGCUCCUUGAAACCAUCUCAGGCAGUCAAUGGACUUUUUAUUUAAUUUUCAUAAAUAGUGUGUUUGUCUUGAGACCUGUGUAGAACCACAGUGUCUCUCAACAUGGGUUUUAACAUGUACGAAAUAUGACGAACUGUUCGAGAUCCAGGUUGAGUUCGAGGACCAGUUCGCAGACGAACUGGAGGUUCUGGCUCAGAUGGAGGGUAGUGGAUACCAGAGUGGCACCAAACUCCCAGGGUGCACUAGGGCUGCUGGCGGUGCCAAUAAGGGUGCUGAGAGAGGAAGAACCUGAGAGGGUGAGUAAUGCAGUGGCUGUUGUAUGUGUAUUAACUGUGGUCACAGUUGCGAAAAGUGAAUAAUACAAUAUUUUCAAUUAAACCUGAGUUUAUCUGCUGCCGAAUAAAGCUUAGUUUUCAACGAUUUGAGUCAGCUGACUCAAAACUAUGAAGACAACAAGCUUUUCUUGUCAUAAGUGAAUGUUUUUGAAUUUUACAGUAAUAAUUGAAAAAUAAUGUAUUAAUCUAUUUUAAUAAAUAUGAAAAAGAGGUUUUCAUCUAA